CACUUAUUUAAACAAAUGUUUGUGAUAAUUUUUAUAAUUAAUAGCCUUUAAUCUGGAUUCCUGUUGAACAGAGCUAAUAUUUUCUGAGUAAACUCAGAUCUUCUUGGUGUUCGUGGUUCAUUUGUUUUCCGUGGCGUUUUAAGGAAGUGAAAGAAACAGAUGUCAACGUCUGAACUGUUUCCACCAGUGUUUCAGCUCUCAGUUCAAUCAUCCCAGGGUUUCAUCAUUCAGAGUCACAUAAUAUGAGGGACAGAUGAAGAUGUCAUCAGUAAUCAUGGAUAAUGAAGCUCUGAAGGUGUUUUUAGCAGCUUUCAUUCUCAUUGCUGCCUCUUUUCUCCCCCUCUCUCCUCCAGUGGGUGUGGUGCGGCCCACCCUGACCGUCCUCCCCCCCUCCAAAGAGGAGGAGCAGCAGAGCAGCGUCACACUGGUGUGUCUGGCCAGCGGAGGCUUCCCCUCAACCUGGAGGCUGGGCUGGAAGGUGGGGGGCAGCAGCAGGUCCUCAGGGGUGUCUAACAGCCUGGAGGUCCUGGGGAGGGACGGCCUCUACAGCUGGAGCAGCACCCUGAGCCUCCCUGCAGACCAGUGGAGGAAGGCGGGCUCAGUGAGCUGUGAGGCCAAUCAGAGUGGACAGAGUCCUGUCACUCAAAGCCUGGACCCUGCCCGCUGCUCAGAGUAGAGCCUCAGCUUCAUGUCUGCAAGUCAGGAUGCUCUCAGAGUUUAUUCAGCAAGAUUACUUUUCAUAUUUAGAGUGAUUUCUAAAACUCAUCUUACUCAUGUUCUCUGAUAAAAGUAGAA